AGUGAACGCUGGCGGUAGGCCUAACACAUGCAAGUCGAACGGCAGCACAGUAAGAGCUUGCUCUUACGGGUGGCGAGUGGCGGACGGGUGAGGAAUACAUCGGAAUCUACUUUUUCGUGGGGGAUAACGUAGGGAAACUUACGCUAAUACCGCAUACGACCUACGGGUGAAAGCAGGGGAUCUUCGGACCUUGCGCGAUUGAAUGAGCCGAUGUCGGAUUAGCUAGUUGGCGGGGUAAAGGCCCACCAAGGCGACGAUCCGUAGCUGGUCUGAGAGGAUGAUCAGCCACACUGGAACUGAGACACGGUCCAGGCUCCUACGGGAGGCAGCAGUGGGGAAUAUUGGACAAUGGGCGCAAGCCUGAUCCAGCCAUACCGCGUGGGUGAAGAAGGCCUUCGGGUCGUAAAGCCCUUUUGUUGGGAAAGAAAAGCAGCAGGUUAAUACCCCGCUGUUCUGACGGUACCCAAAGAAUAAGCACCGGCUAACUUCGUG
rnacentral:rRNA from 1 species